GGGGGCGCGUGGCUUCGACAGGGGCAGGCCUACAGGAUUGCAGGUCGAGGAAGCUAUCUACCUCGUUAAAUACGGUAGCAAAACACAACUGCAGAAGAAGCAGUUCCAGUCGCAGCCUAAAAGGUAGCGCAUCCAACCUUACCUCAUCCCGAUGGGUUUGGAUUGGGUGACGAAAAGUCGGGAUGCUCCGGUGCUGUGCCGAUAAGUACCGGCUAAGAUUAAUCGGAUGGCCCUGUUAAACUCUGUCAGCAGAGGCUAACGGGGCGAGAUUAAAGUACUGACUAAACCUGUAGCACAUUCUGGCAACCUGUUUUUGGACGGGGAGUUCAACCCUCCCCCGCCUCCACCA
rnacentral:tmRNA from 1 species